rnacentral:lncRNA from 1 species
UUUGAUUAUAACAAUAAUAACAAGAUACUAACAGCAGUUCAUAAAAUAAUAAAUAAUAGAUAAAAUCAUAGUUGUAAGUGCACCAUCAAAUUACAUUUUAUCAUAAUCAGGAAUCAUAUUUCAGAAUAUACUGAUCAUACAAGCAAAUGCAUCAAUCUGAUAAAGUCAUAGAAUAUAAAAAUUGUAUUUUUCAACAAAAUUAAGAGAACAGAGUUCCAAUGUCCCCUUCGUUGCACAUGUUUUAUCUGUCUAAGGUCCAAGGGCGAUAACUAAUAUAUUAAAAACAAAUUCUGUUUUGUUCUUUAAAAGUUUUUAUAAAUAGGUUAGAGAAAUAAAGGCUUCAGAGCAAAUGCAAUGUGAUUUCUGCUAUAUUAAAUAUUUUCAAGGGGCAUAACUCAUUACAAAUAUUUGAUCCACACUUAUUUUCAAAAGUGUCAAUAACAUUGAUGAUAUAAACCUGAUAAAAGAUUCAUAUAACUCUUGCAAGAAUUGUACACAUGAGUGCUAACAAUGCAAUUUACAAUAUAAUCAAUAUUUCCAAAGCACAUAACUCUUUUAGAAAUAAUUGAUGGGCACUGAUUUUUCGAAUUUGUCUAAGAUAUUGAUGAUAUAAACCUUAAUGAUAAAUUUCAUAAAAAUCCUGCAAGAACUGUACACAUGAGUGUGCUAGCAAUGCAAUUUUCCUUAUAAUCAAAAUUUCCAAAAGGGCAUAAUUUUUUUCUAAAUUAAAGAACCUUUGUUAGCAUGCUCACAUACCCCCACAUUGUCACUGGACAAACAAAAUAUCACCAGAUUCCUAAGUUCAAAGACUCAUAACUCUACAAAAGUCAACUUAUAAAAAAUUGUUCUUGUGGAUAUGCACAUUAACAUAGUACAAAUGUAUGUCCUUGUUAACUACAUAGUUUCAUGAAAUUCUGUUGUGUGGUUUUAGAGUGAUUACAAACUGUUGAAGGGGUAUAUUUAGGCGAAUAUUCAAAGUUCAAAGGGGCAUAACUCCUAAAAAAAAUUGAUUCAUAAUUUCCAGUUGAUAUGCAUGUCCUUAUCAUCUACAAAGUUAAAUGAAAUUCUGCCAUGUGGUUUCAAAGGAGUUGCGAUGAAAACUAUUGAAGUGGUAUAUUAAGGUCAAUAAGUUCAAGGGGCAUAACUCCUAGAAAAAAAAAUUAAUCAUAAUUUCCUGCCAAUAAGCACAUCUACAUAGUUUGUCCUUAUUAUCUACAAAGUUUUAUGAAAUUUUGUUGUGUGGUAUCAAAGGAGAUGUGAUGAGAAUUUGUUGCAGUAGUAUAUUGAGGCCAAUAAGUUCAAAGGGUAUAACUCCUAGAAAAAAAAUUGAUUCAUAAUUUCUUGUCGAUAUGCAGAUCUACAUAGUAUGUUCUUAUCAUCUACAAAGUUUCGUGAAAAAUUCUGUUGUUUGAGGAACGGACCGACAGGUUAAAAAUAUUAUAUCCAAAGCGAUAAAUUGUGUGGGCUAUAAUAAUUGAUCAGCACUUAUUUUUGAACAAUCCAUUUUUUCCUUAUAAUCAAUUGUCAAAGAGACAAAUAUCCCCCCCCCCCCCCCAAGUUCAAAUAAAGUGGAUGUAAGCAACUAUAGGCAACUUUCAACAAUGAGAACAAAAAAAAUGUUUUACAAUUUAAGAGGAGCAUACGGUCCUCUUGUGCUUAAUUUCACUCAUGGAGACAAGGAAAACUUGAAAGAUAUGUACGAAAAGGUAAUUAGAGGAAAUAUACUAAGAGGAAAUCAUACUCAAACCCUCAAACUGGCAGAUCCACUAAAUCAACACAAAGACUGAC